AAACUUGAUAAUAUUCUUGUCUCCCUGCAAAAUUCAUGUGGCAGAGAACAAGUGCAACACAGUAUGAAUCAGAGAAACUGCACUGCAGUAGACAUCAACAAGCUAUCUGCAGAAGUGUCAAACCACAAGAAAGCAAUGGUGCACAGAAGGUGAAUUGACAAACCUUUCAAAACUGUAUCUAAGUUAACCUGAAAAAUGUAAGUGCCAUUACCUAAAUUUUUAAGAUAAAUCUAAAGCAUAUAUGUCAAAAUUUGGCAGGAAUAGCAACCCUCAGAACUUAAUUGUGAAAUCCUGACCAAACUUUCAAGGGAAAAAAAUGAUGUAAAUUGAUGCAUAACUGAACAAUUAGUACACAAAUUACUUCAAGUGUUCAUCAGUAACAAGGACAAAACUUACAACAUAAGCUUCAAAUAUACGAU
rnacentral:misc_RNA from 1 species